GACGAACGCUGGCGGCGUGCCUAAUACAUGCAAGUAGAACGCUGAAGCUUGGUGCUUGCACCGAGCGGAUGAGUUGCGAACGGGUGAGUAACGCGUAGGUAACCUGCCUGGUAGCGGGGGAUAACUAUUGGAAACGAUAGCUAAUACCGCAUAAGAGUAGCUGUUGCAUGACAUUUGCUUAAAAGGUGCAAUUGCAUCACUACCAGAUGGACCUGCGUUGUAUUAGCUAGUUGGUGAGGUAACGGCUCACCAAGGCAACGAUACAUAGCCGACCUGAGAGGGUGAUCGGCCACAUGGGAGCGGGGCCACGGCCAAGACGCCUGCGGGAGGCAGCAGUAGGGAAUCUGCGGCAAUGGACGGAAGUCUGACCGAGCAACGCCGCGUGAGUGAAGAAGGCUUUCGGAUCGUAAAGCUCUGUUGUAAGAGAAGAACGAGUGUGAGAGUGGAAAGUUCACACUGUGACGGUAUCUUACCAGAAAGGGACGGCUAACUACGUG
rnacentral:rRNA from 1 species